rnacentral:rRNA from 1 species
GACGAACGCUGGCGGCGUGCUUAACACAUGCAAGUCGAACGGUGAAGCGCCUUCCUUUUUGGUGGGUGUGGAUGAGUGGCGAACGGGUGAGUAACACGUGAGUAACCUGCCCCCUUCUUCUGGAUAACCGCGUGAAAGUGUGGCUAAUACGGGAUAUUCUGGGUCUGUCGCAUGAUGGGUCUGGGAAAGAUAUUGUUUCGGUGGGGGAUGGGCUCGCGGCCUAUCAGCUUGUUGGUGGGGUGAUGGCCUACCAAGGCGGUGACGGGUAGCCGGCCUGAGAGGGUGGACGGUCACACUGGGACUGAGACACGGCCCAGACUCCUACGGGAGGCAGCAGUGGGGAAUAUUGCACAAUGGGCGCAAGCCUGAUGCAGCGACGCCGCGUGAGGGAUGGAGGCCUUCGGGUUGUGAACCUCUUUCGCCAGUGAAGCAGGCCUGCCUCGUUUGUGGGUGGGUUGACGGUAGCUGGAUAAGAAGCGCCGGCUAACUACGU